AGCGAACGCUGGCGGCAGGCUUAACACAUGCAAGUCGAGCGGGCACUUCGGUGUCAGCGGCAGACGGGUGAGUAACACGUGGGAACGUACCCUUUGGUUCGGAAUAACGCUGGGAAACUAGCGCUAAUACCGGAUACGCCCUUUUGGGGAAAGGCUUGCUGCCGAAGGAUCGGCCCGCGUCUGAUUAGCUAGUUGGUGGGGUAAUGGCCUACCAAGGCGACGAUCAGUAGCUGGUCUGAGAGGAUGAUCAGCCACACUGGGACUGAGACACGGCCCAGACUCCUACGGGAGGGAGCAGUGGGGAAUAUUGGAAAAUGGGCGCAAGCCUGAUCCAGCCAUGCCGCGUGAGUGAUGAAGGCGUUAGGGUUGUAAAGCUCUUUUGUCCGGGACGAUAAUGACGGUACCGGAAGAAUAAGCCCCGGCUAACUUCGUG
rnacentral:rRNA from 1 species